UUAUACAGUGAAACUGCGAAUGGCUCAUUAAAUCAGUUAUAGUUUAUUUGAUGGUAUCUGCUACAUGGAUAACUGUGGUAAUUCUAGAGCUAAUACAUGCAUAAAAGCCCCAACUGGAAUUUAUUUUGGAAGGGGUGUAUUUAUUAGAUAAAAACCAAUCCCCCUUGGGGUGUUUUGGUGAUUCAUAAUAACUUUUUUCGAAUCGCAUGGCCUUGUGCCGGUGAUGCUUCAUUCAAAUAUCUGCCCUAUCAACUGUUGAUGGUAGGAUAGAGGCCUACCAUGGUUGUAACGGGUAACGGGGAAUAAGGGUUCGAUUCCGGAGAGGGAGCCUGAGAAACGGCUACCACAUCCAAGGAAGGCAGCAGGCGCGCAAAUUACCCAAUCCCAACACGGGGAGGUAGUGACAAUAAAUAACAAUAUAAGGCUUUCCACAAAAGGUCUUUAUAAUUGUAAUGAGUUUAAUUUAAAUCCCUUGACAAGGAACAAUUGGAGGGCAAGUCUGGUGCCAGCAGCCGCGGUAAUUCCAGCUCCAAUAGCGUAUAUUAAAGUUGUUGCAGUUAAAAAGCUCGUAGUUGAAGUUUGGUCCCAUUUAGGCGGUCUGCUUAACGGUUUGUACUGUCUGCCUGGGACUUUAGCCUCUUGGUGGUCCGGUAUGUCAUUUACUUGGUGUAUCGGGGAACCAGGAUUUUUACUUUGAAAAAAUUAGAGUGUUCAAAGCAGGCGUUUGUCGGAAUAAAUUAGCAUGGAAUAAUAAAAUAGGACGUGUGGUUCUAUUUUGUUGGUUUGUAGAAUCACCGUAAUGAUUAAUAGGGACAGUUGGGGGCACUAGUAUUUGCACGUUAGAGGUGAAAUUCUGGGAUCGUGUGAAGACUGACGACUGCGAAAGCAUUUGCCAAGGAUGUUUUCAUUAAUCAAGAACGAAGGUUAGGGGAUCGAAAACGAUCAGAUACCGUUGUAGU
rnacentral:rRNA from 1 species